CUUUGUGCCCGUGUUUACGGUGGUUGCAGUGUCGUUUUGGCCUGGUGUCAGUGUGUUGUCGGUGCUGCUUGGUGGAUUUAAUGACUGUUUGCCUCUCAGGAGCUGGGGUCCCACGGGUGAACGGAUCCUCCUCUUUGUGGUGGUGGUUCUUCUUUAUUGCGUGCUGUGUACCACUUCGAGUGUGUGGUAGUGUGAUCUGAGUGCACCUUGGUGUGUGUGCGCGUGAAAGUGUGCUCUUGUAAAAUCAGACUCCAUUUGUUUCCUGCCGUUGGGAGCCUCAGCCCUGCUGGUAUUUAUUUUGCUUUCAUAUUUAAAGUUGAUUUUGUGUCAUUAUCUGCAUUCAUUCUUUUUGUAAAUUCAUUUUCUUCCAUUUAAAGUGGGAUCUCCUGUUGCUUCUUUGACAUUUUAGUGUCCAUUUUAAAACAUUUUUGUAUUAAUAAACAAUUGUAUUUUUAUAUUA